rnacentral:rRNA from 1 species
GACGAACGCUGGCGGCGUGCUUAACACAUGCCAGUCGAACGGAAAGGCCCUGCUUGCCGGGUGCUCGAGUGGCGAACGGGUGAGUAACACGUGGGUGAUCUGCCCCUUACUUUGGGAUAAGCCUGGGAAACUGGGUCUAAUACUGGAUAGGACCAUGCUGUAGGUGGUGUGGUGGAAAGAUUAGUUUCGGUAAGGGAUGAGCUCGCGGCCUAUCAGCUUGUUGGUGGGGUAAUGGCCUACCAAGGCGUCGACGGGUAGCCGGCCUGAGAGGGUGGACGGCCACAUUGGGACUGAGAUACGGCCCAGACUCCUACGGGAGGCAGCAGUGGGGAAUAUUGCACAAUGGGCGCAAGCCUGAUGCAGCGACGCCGCGUGGGGGAUGGCGGCCUUCGGGUUGUAAACUCCUUUCAGCCAUGACGAAGCCCUUGUGGUGACGGUAGUGGUAGAAGAAGCACCGGCUAACUACGUG